GGAGAUAGCUCAGUGGUAGAGUGCAUGCUUAGCAUGCACAAGGUCCUGGGUUCAAUCCCCCGUACCUCUG
rnacentral:tRNA from 1 species